AUCGUCUUCUUCCAGAUAUUAAAAUGAUUAACAUAUGCAUAUGACUUUAAAAUUUUGCAUUUAUUUCAAUGAACUUAAAAUAUAUCAAACCGCACAAAGGUCACCACAAUUUAUCUCUUUAAAGGCUUCAAAGUACCCUAGGUUGUAAUGAGACAUCUGUGAAGCAUUUUUUUGUCUUUAGAGAUAUGUUACAAACAUCCUUUAAAAACAUCCUUGAACAUCCUCGUCAUGCAGUAUGUUGAAUUUUUUUAGGCAACGGGCGUUAAAGCUGAAGUGUCUUAUGCCUCGCCAUGGUCUAAGAGGGGUCGUAUUACACAGCCUGAGAGUCCGACCAACAUCGGUUUGGUCCGCUGUUCUCCGUUCCUGGUAACGAAAGGGAAUUUGACCUCGGCGGUGCAUCUGUAACGCAAUCUCCACAAUGAAAAUCGACAGUUGGCGUACUUAUACGCCCGGCAAGACGGGUUGAUAUCCUUUGCAUUUGCCUCAGCUAGCUUGGCAAUGGACUUGAAUCCUAAUUCGCAAUCAGUCACUCGAUGUUCUGGCGGAAAAAGACACGCACAUCCACGGCCUCCACGACACGGAUCCGACUUCAGCCAAGAUUUCAAGUUACUUCUUGCCCGCUCUAGUGUUAGUUCUGACUGCAAUAAAUUAAAUUCAACGGAUAAGUCUUUGAGCGAGACAACCUUCUUCUUCACGGAUUCUAUUCCUCUCACAUUAGUGGUAGUCAAAGUGACCUCGGCAGUGCAUUUGUAAUAUAAAUAUAAGCACUGCUUCAUCGGCCGACAACUAGCAAACGUCGCGCUCUUGCAGUGCGCGUGGACAUCGCUUGCUCCCGCCUCGGCUAGCGUCUUGAUGGACGCGAAUGCCUCAUCGCACUCUUGGAACCGAAAAUCUGGAGGCUCAAGACAUGGUGCUCCGCGGCCUCCACGGCACGGAUCCGACUUUAAAGAUUGAGUAAAGAUCUGCCUUGCCUCCGCUGUUGUUAGUGACUGAAAUAAAAUAAAUCAAACGGAAACGAUUAACUGCAUUGUGACGAGUCUGGGGGUGCAUUUAACUACUCUUCCGUGCUAAGCAAAAACGCCGCGCCGCGGCCGUAUGAACAUACGAGAGUUGCUUAAUUUCUUCGGACAAAGCUUGUAUUUUUGACGAAAUUUAUGUAUAUUUUUCAUUAUAAUUUUCAGAUAUUUUAGAUUAAAUUGCGAACAAAAUCGUCUGAAAAUUGGAAGACAAAUAUUUACUAUUCCGUCAAUAAAUUUGUAUUUCAUUAGAGGAAAUUUGGUAACGCCUGGAGGUUCGUACGGCAUUUUUCUUAGCACGGCAGUACUGCAGACUGCCCCUCCUACUUCUUAUAAAUCCCAUUCAGUGCGCAUUAAAAGAACGUGUAGUCCAAAGCACAGAAAUUCAAAAAGAGUAAGUGAUUUUUUUACUUGGGGUCAUGAGGUGAGCCCUGGAUCCUGUCCUUUAGGGGUAAAAUCAUCUCAUGGGCUCAUAGUUCCCUCGAGUGCGUUGUGUAUCUCACUACUGUCUGAGAGUCAUUUUUCCUGGCUGGCGAUAAUCACCUGCUCUGCCGUGCCAAGGAAAAAUGCCGUUUGAGCCUUUAGGCGUGGCCAAAAACAGGAUUUUAUUGUUAAUUUGGCAGCUCCAGUUCUCCCCACCACUCUCUUCUUCAGGUUGGUAAUGUUGUUAAGUUCCCAAGAAUCCACAUUGGGUACCAAUAUAAGCAUUCCUGAAUUUACUAUACGAAUUAAAUAAUUGCUGUUGCCGUAUGGCAACGCGAUGCAGUAUAAAGGGA
rnacentral:lncRNA from 1 species